rnacentral:rRNA from 1 species
GAUGAACGCUGGCGGCGUGCUUAACACAUGCAAGUCGAACGAGAACCGAUGGAACGAGGAUUCGUCUGAGGGAAGUCGGGGAAAGUGGCGGACGGGUGAGUAACGCGUGAGCAAUCUACCUUGGAGUGGGGAAUAACGGCUGGAAACAGCCGCUAAUACCGCAUGAUGCGUCUGGGCCGCAUGGCUCUGGGCGCCAAAGAUUCAUCGCUCUGAGAUGAGCUCGCGUCUGAUUAGCUAGUUGGCGGGGCAACGGCCCACCAAGGCGACGAUCAGUAGCCGGACUGAGAGGUUGGCCGGCCACAUUGGGACUGAGACACGGCCCAG